CGAGCCGCGGCCGGGGUCGUCGGCGCGGAGCGGUCCCCACGAGGACGCGAGAGCAGAGCGCCGCCCGCAGCCGCCGUCCGCGCCCACAGCGACAUCCCGGCGGCACCGCAGCCCCGAGCCGAGGCCGCGCAGGCCGCACUCACCUCUGCCCGCAGCCCGGAACCCUCAGCGCGGAGCCCGCAGCCCGGAACGCACAACCCGCAGCGCUGAGCCCGGAACGCACAGUCCGCAACACCGAGCCCGGAACGCACAGCCCGCAGCACCGAGCCCGGCUCCUCCCCGCGGACGCCUCGUACCCGCUCCGCUCUUUCAGAACGAUUAUGAGUCUCUAGCGAACUUUAUUAGUAUCCGGGUUCACCGAGCUACUCCUUGCCGACGCCGCCGGGGAUGGAGGGCGCGCCGGACUCCCGCCCGCCGCGCUGAGGAGCAUGCGCCACCUGGUCUGCGCAUGCUCAGCACCGGCCCCGCCCUGCGCUGGCAGGGAAGGCGCGGGCUGGGUUUGCACAGCAUCAGGCCUUGGUACCCAAGGAGACCAAGGGUAUGACUGAACAAAAUAGAAGACCGUGAUGGCUAACAACUCAGAAAACUAACCCACAAAUUUAAAAAGGUCCUGCAAAAAAGCAAACUCGCUUCAAACGCGGCGUGGAAACACACGUGUGUGAUCCUAGUACUUGGAAAGAUGGUGUGGCAUGAAGAUCAGGAUUUCAAGGCCAGCCUGAACUACAAUAAACUAUGUCUCAAAAUACAUAAACGUUGGUUGUUUCUGUAUGCAUCAAAAUAAAACAGGGGAGGGUGAUAUAAAAUACCAAGUGUUGAAAAGAAUGUGAAUUAGCUGAAUUUGUGUGCUGGAGCAACUCCUUUGAACGAGAAGGAGAGUUUGUUACAUUUGUGCACCCUGUGAUCCAC
rnacentral:lncRNA from 1 species